UACGGAGGGUGCACGCGUUAUCCGGCUUCACUGGGUUUAAAGGGUGCGUAGGUGGGUCUGUAAGUCCGUGGUGAAAUCUCCGAGCUUAACUUGGAAACUGCCAUGGAUACUAUAGGUCUUGAAUACUGUGGAGGUCAGCGGAAUAUGUCAUGUAGCGGUGAAAUGCUUAGAUAUGACAUAGAACACCAAUUGCGAAGGCAGCUGGCUACACAAAUAUUGACACUGAUGCACGAAAGCGUGGGGAUCAAACAGG
rnacentral:rRNA from 1 species